rnacentral:rRNA from 1 species
UCUCUCUGAAUCUGCGAACGGCUCCGCAAACCAGUUGUAAACUAUAGCAAGCUCGCUCACGUUCCCCCUUCACGGGGGGAGUCUGGGUAAUAGGGAUAACCCUGGUAAUUCUGAGGCUAAUACCACCACGUAAAACCUGGCCGACCGGGCAACCGGAAAGCUGGGGGGCGUGCGAGUGUUUUCGCGAGGUUUACCGGGAAAGGACGCACGUCUCGACCGCGCAAAACGGAUGACCGGGCCCUCGGGCUCGGGCUUCUAGCGGCUCUUGCUGUGUGCUUCUGACCUAUCAACUAGAUGGCAGCGUAAGGGACAUGCUAUGGUGACAACGGGUACAGAGGAUUAGGGUUCGAUCCUGGAGAGUGGGCCUGAGAGAUU